rnacentral:rRNA from 1 species
UACGUAGGGGGGCAAGCGUUGUCCGGAUUUAUUGGGCGUAAAGAGCGUGUAGGCGGCUUUACAGGUCCGUUGUGAAAACUCGAGGCUCAACCUCGAGACGCCGGUGGAAACCGUAAGGCUAGAGUCCGGAAGAGGAGAGUGGAAUUCCUGGUGUAGCGGUGAAAUGCGCAGAUAUCAGGAGGAACACCCGUGGCGAAAGCGGCUCUCUGGGACGGUACUGACGCUGAGACGCGAAAAGCGUGGGGGAGCAAACAGG